GGAUGGCCACCUCGUGGCUGGAAUGGGUGUGACACUGGGAUAUUAAAUAUGCUACUAUUUAUUUACUAAACUGGACAAAUCGUCUACAAAAGUAAAUGUUGUGAUGGGUUGUGUGAGUGGUCAGACAACGGUUGUCUAAAUAUGUGUUUGACAUUUAAUAUAAAAUGGUAUCUGCUGAGUCAGAAAAUAGAGCGGUGGAAAACACUAAAGGAUUGUAGGUAUGUAAAAAUAGAAUGUGCGUGGAGUUGUUGUUGAUAUUAUCAUUCUGGUUACUAUGUGGGCAUGCAGAUUAGAGGCAAAUUAAUAUGGAAUUAUCGAGGAGAAUAAAAUGAGCAAUUAGGGACUAUUAGUGGAAAAAAUUAAGCUGAACGUAGGUUGAAGAGUGAGGAAAAAUACCCUAAAAUAGGUAAACCAGAAUGUGAAAGUUGGAACUGUAAAUGAUAAGGUUAAUAACCGAGGAUAUGUAGCAUAUGGUUAUCGUGUUGGGACAAUGUUUUAACCUGCAAAAGAGUGGCUGAAAGGGGUGGCUAAGUAGACUAAGGAUGAGGUAACAUAUGGGUUACAAAAUAGGAGCUGCCAUGGUAAUUAUUUUGAAAUUCAAGGGAAAUUUAGGCAGUAGUGUGCUGGGAACCAUAUAAGCAAAGAGAUAAAUGGGCUCUUUCAGUGGGAGAGUGAUGACAAAGAGUAGAGUGACUGUUGGGGACAAGUCAGGGAAGUUGAUAAUAGGCUAUUUGUACCUGUGAGCUUUGGAGAGAGUCUGAGAUAUGUAGAAUUUUCCUUCUGAGGAAAAAAAGAGAUUGUAUAUAGUGAGAGAGAGAGUUGAGGGCGACUCUAGUUUAGGAAUUUUAUUGAUGUCAAUACAUUAUUUAAAUUUAAAUUUGACAUCAUGGGCAUGUGUAAGCUAAUUCAUGUUUAUUUACAGAUGCAGUGAAGCAGGAAUCAAGAUAGGAUUCACCACCAGCAGAAUCCAAUACAUAAGGGAUACAAGAAUAGAAUAAGCGAGAUUUAUGCCAUUAUACUCAUA
rnacentral:lncRNA from 1 species